CGUUUGGGAGGCUGAGGUACCCCUGGCAGCAGGGCAGAACCCUCUCCUCAGGCCCCAGAGGUGUUCAUAGGAAGAGACUGAGGCUGCUUGAUGACAUCUCAGGGACACGGUGAUAGCACAGCCGGCUGUUAUGACGUCUGAGUGAUUCGCCACCUGCCUGUUAUGACCAGCAUCUCUAGUCAUGCCCCAUGGGGGGGAUGAGGAUGGGAGGAAGUGACAGGCCACAGGGGGUGGGGGUGACAGGGAUGCAGUCAUUUAGAGACCAGGGACUCAGCAGCUGAGAGAUGUGUUCUGCCCCCUGCACUAGGGAAAGUUGGGUGAGAGGAUCCACGUUUUGGUGUUCUGUUUAGUGAAGAAGGUCUAGUUUCAACAACGUUUGGCUGGGAUGGAGUAGGUCUGGGCUCAGAAUCAGGGGUCAGCCCAGAGGCUGCUGAGAUCAGGGACAUCUGUUUUGUUUGCUGCUGGGUCCCCAUCACCUAGGACAUAACUGGCACACAGUAGGGGCUCAAUAAAUCUUUGUUGAAUGACUGAAUCAAAUGAAAGGGGUCAGCACUCUCUGGGACUCAGUUUACCUUUUUGCCUAACAGCCCUGGCCAUCAGGCCACCUCAGCCAAUGGCGUUGCUAGGGAUACCCCUCCCCACCUAGGGUCUCAGAUCUCAGUCCUCGCUCCCGAGUGGGGUGGGGGUGAGCAAAAAAAGGAGUUAGUGCCUCUGAUGGACUCCGCCCAAGUGUGAUGUCACAAGCCGCUCUGGGAUCCCGACCCGUGUCCCUCCCUUGGGAUGGGGCGUGGAGAGGAACCCGGGAGUCCUAACUUCCGCCGCUCCCCGGGGCCUGGCACUGUUACAUAACCCCCGACGUCGCGUCCCCAGGGAUGUCGCCGGACGUCCUGGCCAGGCUGGGGACAAUAGGCGGGGAGAGGCCCUCCCGCCAGGAGCCUGGAAGUGGCAAGGGCACCCUCUCCUCUGAUUCACCCUUGUUUCCGGCCCGUUUAAGCCUCCUCCUUCUCCUCAAGAAUCCCUAUCUCCCCCAAACUCUCUACCCUCACAUCUUGUCCUCCCUAAAUUUCACGUCUUUCCCCGAGCCUGGAAAUAUGUCCUCUACCCAAACUCCCUGCCCUCACACCAGUGCCCUGUGAUUUCUGAAUCCCCUAAACGUCCAGUUUCCCACGCCCUCCUUCACUCACCCAUCCGCGGGCCCCUCUCCCGGGUCCCUCAAACUAGCCCCCACUUCCUACCCCGCCCCCGCCUUCCCAAUCUCCUCCCUUGGCUCCCCCAAACUUCCCCCAUCAUCUGUCUCCCCCAAACCCCUUCCCACCUCCCUCAAACUGACCCCGAAUACUCUUUCUCGUCCCUAAUGCCAGCCGUCUCUUGUUUCCCCGAAACUGCCCCAGUAUCUCUACUUCAUUCCCGCCAAAUCGGGUCCCCCAUACCCUCCCGGCUCCAGACAGCCGCCGGGUCCCCCGGCCCCAGGCCCCCGGCCGCCCGCGCCCUUCGCCGGCCCGCUCCCAGGCCCGGCUCCGGUUCCCAGGCCGCCCUCCCGCGGUGGCCUAGAGACCCAGUUUGCAGCGGCAAAACAUUGGUCUCCGGGCAACAGGCCCCGCCCGCCCCAGGGCGGCCCGCUGCGAGCCCAGCCGCGCCGAGGCCGAGACUGCGCGCGGAGGCGGGGCGGGCUCACAGGGCAGGGGCCUUCGCCUCCGGAGGCCCGCAGGGCGCAGAAACCCGGGGAGACGGCAACGCGGAAGUAGAGAUUCAGGGCCCCGGAGCCAGAAAACCUCGAGAAAUUCGUGGAGGCUGAAGCCACAGGGAGCUGUCUGGGGCGCAGUGAUAAAGAGACCGCGCGACAAAGCAAACAAGGACCGGGCCCCGAAAUAAACUCGGGGAUGGCGAGACUAAACACAGACACCCCACGGGUCCGCAGGGACGCCCCUGAAGGCAGGAUAAUCUGCCUCAGAUCGUCUGGGCCAUUGCGCUUCUGUCUCAGGGGCCUCCCUCUCUGACCCUCAGUUUCCGUAUUUGUAAAAUGGGUAGCGCCCAGCACAGAGGGCUGUCGUGACAAUAGGGCUGUCGUAAGGAUUCAGGGAAUUCACCGACCUGGAGCUCGUGGCACACUCCUGGCACAUCCCAUCCGUCAUUCAUUCGUUCAACAGAUAUUUAUCGAGCACCCAUUAUGUGCCCUGCACUGUGGUAAGUGCUGGGAAUUCAACAGAGAGCAAAACAAAGAUCCCUGUCUUCGUGGGAGCUUCCACUUUGGGAGUGGGGAAGGAGGUGAUGGACGGUAUAGAAGCACAAAUUAGCACAUUAUGUAACACGCUGGGAAGUGGUCAUUGCUGGGGAGGUGGAGAGGGAGGGAGGGUUGGGGCAGCCGUUUUAAAUAGGGUGGUCAGAGAAGGCCGACCUGAGAAGGUGAUGCUUGAGCAAAGACUGGAAGUUGGUGAGAGAGGAGCCUGCAGAUAUCCCGGCCAAGAACAUGCCCGUCAGAGGGAGAAGCGGGUGCAAAGUCCUUAAGGUGGGAACAUGCCUGGUGUGUUGGAUUAACAGCCGGAGGCCCAUGUGGUUGGAGCAGAGAAAGCAAGGAGAGAGGGAGUGGCAGAGACACGGGGCCUGUGGGCCAUGAUGCAGAAACUGAGGCCCCAGGAGGUCACUCAACUUGCCCAAGGACUCAGCUCAGUCUGGCUCCAAAGAUGGACCCUCUACCUGCAGGGGAAAUCACUCUUCUCCCUGGCCACGUGUCUCCGCAGAACCUCACCUAUUAUGUGACAUCAGAACCUGGCAUCAGCCAACAAGGACCUACAGUAUAGCAGAGAAAACUAUACUCAAUAUUUUGUGAUAAUCUAUAAGAGAAAAGAAUCUGAAAAAAAUAUAUAUAUAUAAACUGAAUCACUUUGCUGUACACCUGAAACUAACACAAACUUGUAAAUCAACUAUACUUCAAUUAAAAAAAAUUUUUAAAAAAACUGGCAUUGGGACACAUGUGUGGAGGCCUCAGGUCAGCUGCUCAGAAUUACUCAGGCAGGAUCUCACACGUCAUAAUCUCUGCCACUUCUUUCUCUGAGAUUCCGACCCACAGCUUUUGGGUGUGGGACUGGGGCAAUCCACUUUUAUCAAGCUCCCCAGGUGAUGGGGACUUGCACUAGCUACUCCAUCUAAUUUUGCACAAAGGGAAGAGCAGAGGUCCAGAGAGCAGAGGAGCCAUCCCAGCACCCCACAGCACUCAGCUGUGAGGGGCUUGGAGCUGUCCAGAAUCGAUGGGAACAAGUUUGGGAGUUAAAUUAAAUAAUAAAAGAGAAUCACAAAGACACAGAGGCAGACCCAGAAAUGGAUAAAGACUCAGAGAAAGGGGAGUGGGAGGGGGGCAGAAAUCCAGAAAGGGGCUCAGGGGAACAGAGACACAGAAUGACAGAAAUGCACAGAGAUGGUGCCACAGAGACAGAGAGACAGGGGUCAGAAAGAUGCAGAGAGAAAUUGGAGGCAUAUUAAGAGACAGAGACUGAGAGACAGACAGUCAUUUCGGGGGAUAGAGAGACCCCGAGAGGGGCACAUUUUCAACAGUAUACAUGUGGCCCACAUUUUAUAGGCUCUACUUCCUAGAAGCCACCAGUGCCGUAGUUUGACAAUUGCAGGCUUACCAAGCCAGGUUCCCUCCCUAGGCCCUACAUGUAGGAUGCACGUUAAACACGUUUAUAUAACCUGCCCUCUGUGCAGAAUCUAGGAGCUUUACAUAACAUAGCCCCAUGAGUCAUGCUGCAGACGUGGGGCAGUGACCUGACACGCCCAAUGAGAGGGGACCCCUCACCCAGGACUGUUACCUGGAAGUGACUCUGUGAGAAGUGAGAGAUCAUAGGUUGCACUGAGGAGGACGUAGAGGGUCAGAGAGGGCAAGGCACUUGCUCUGGGGUCACACAGCCAGGGUCCAGUAGGGCAAGAAUUCCAACCUCAUCUGCCUGAUUCCAUUGCCUUUGCACCCCAAGACACCAAGAAAGGCAAUGACUGCCAAUGCCCUGUGAUGUGCUCCUUUACAGACUGGAGGAAAUAAUAAAAAUAUCAGUGAUAAUAUGACAGCCCCCGUGUAUUAAGCACGCUGUGCUGCAAUAAGUACU